rnacentral:rRNA from 1 species
AGUGAACGCUGGCGGUAGGCCUAACACAUGCAAGUCGAACGGCAGCACAGUAAGAGCUUGCUCUUACGGGUGGCGAGUGGCGGACGGGUGAGGAAUACAUCGGAAUCUACUUUUUCGUGGGGGAUAAUGUAGGGAAACUUACGCUAAUACCGCAUACGACCUACGGGUGAAAGCAGGGGAUCUACGGACCUUGCGCGAUUGAAUGAGCCGAUGUCGGAUUAGCUAGUUGGCGGGGUAAAGGCCCACCAAGGCGACGAUCCGUAGCUGGUCUGAGAGGAUGAUCAGCCACACUGGAACUGAGACACGGUCCAGACUCCUACGGGAGGCGGCAGUGGGGAAUAUUGGACAAUGGGCGCAAGCCUGAUCCAGCCAUACCGCGUGGGUGAAGAAGGCCUUCGGGUUGUAAAGCCCUUUUGUUGGGAAAGAAAAGCAGCAGGUUAAUACCCCGCUGUUCUGACGGUACCCAAAGAAUAAGCACCGGCUAACUUCGUG